CAAUAUUCUCUAAGACCAAGAAUGAGCCAGAGGAAAGUUUUCUGGGUUAAAAUCAUGAGUUGGACUUAAACGUGUUGAGAUGGAGGUACCUGGGAUGCGUUAGAAUGGAGUUGCUCAGCAGGCAGUUAUAGCCAAGAGCCAAGAGAGGUGAUCUGAGCUGACCCCAGAUGUAUGAGCAGCAGUAUGGGAACAAGGAAACCUCAGUUAGGGACAAAAUGACCCCUCAGAAGAAUAAAGAGAGAAGAGAGCUCAGGGACUGCCUGAGCAUGGUAGAACUCUAACAGAUGAAGGUCAGGAUGAAGCAGGAGGUGAGGUGAAGACAAGUACUCAGGGGAAAACAAGUGAUGUGUCAUAGGGUCCAAAGAAAUAAAGUUUUGCCCAAAAAGAGGAUGCUGGAUACAGCUUAGAGAUAAAGGAUGAUGCCUUUUGAAACUAGUGAUGUGCUGGUCACCAGUGAAAUUAAAACAGGCCUUUUGAGUGGGAUGGUGGGAAAAUGGCACAUAUCUGAGUUGACCGAGGCUCAAGUGAGAGACGACGAUGCAAGUCACAGCUUGUCUCCACAACUCUUGAGAAAGAAGUUUGGCUGUAAAGGGGAGAGAGCUAUGGAGGCAACUGGAGGGAAAUGAUUUGAAGGAAGGGUUUUGUUUCUCUUAUGCUGCUUUGUCUUUAGCAAAAGAAGAGCCAUGAGCAUGUAUAAUCCAUAGUGAGAAAGAUUCAGGACAGGGGGAGGCAUUGAAAACAGAGAGCAAUGAAUUCUUCCUUCAAAGGUGGGAAAGGAUUCAUCUUGGCAAAGAAAUCAGCCUCACCUAGGAAGAGGGCCCUACUCUGUAACAGGAAGGAAAGAGGAUGUUUCCUCCUGUAACAGGAAGGAAAGAGGGUGUUUCCUCCUGUAACAGGAAGGAAAGAGGGUGUUUCCUCCUGUAACAGGAAGGAAAGAGGGUGUUUCCUCCUGUAACAGGAAGGAAAGAGGGUGUUUCCUCCUGUAACAGGAAGGAAAGAGGAUGCAGGUGGGAGAGGGUGGGAGGUGGAUGGAUUUAUUCACUCUUAUUUUCUUUCUGAGGCAGGAACUCCCUCCUCCAAUGGGAGUGGGAGGAGGAGGAACCGGAGGCACGAGGAGAGGGGACAUUUGAAAUUGACUUGGCACAAGAAGUGAGAGUUGGCCAGGGAAACAUGGUUAAAUUUCUGGGCAGUGUUGACAGUCC
rnacentral:lncRNA from 10 species